GACGAACGCUGGCGGCGUGCCUAAUACAUGCAAGUAGAACGCUGAAGGAGGAGCUUGCUCUUCUGGAUGAGUUGCGAACGGGUGAGUAACGCGUAGGUAACCUGCCUGGUAGCGGGGGAUAACUAUUGGAAACGAUAGCUAAUACCGCAUAACAGUAGAUGUUGCAUGACAUUUGCUUAAAAGGUGCAAUUGCACCACUACCAGAUGGACCUGCGUUGUAUUAGCUAGUUGGUGGGGUAACGGCUCACCAAGGCGACGAUACAUAGCCGACCUGAGAGGGGGAUCGGCCACACUGGGACUGAGACACGGCCCAGACUCCUACGGGAGGCAGCAGUAGGGAAUCUUCGGCAAUGGACGGAAGUCUGACCGAGCAACGCCGCGUGAGUGAAGAAGGGUUUCGGAUCGUAAAGCUCUGUUGUAAGAGAAGAAAGAGUGUGAGAGUGGAAAGUUCACACUGUGACGGUAUCUUACCAGAAAGGGACGGCUAACUACGUG
rnacentral:rRNA from 1 species